UACGUAGGGUGCGAGCGUUAAUCGGAAUUACUGGGCGUAAAGCGCGCGUAGGCGGUGACGUAAGUCAGAUGUGAAAUCCCCGGGCUUAACCUGGGAACUGCAUUUGUGACUGCAUCGCUGGAGUGCGGCAGAGGGGGAUGGAAUUCCGCGUGUAGCAGUGAAAUGCGUAGAUAUGCGGAGGAACACCGAUGGCGAAGGCAAUCCCCUGGGCCUGCACUGACGCUCAUGCACGAAAGCGUGGGGAGCAAACAGG
rnacentral:rRNA from 1 species